AAUUUUUUAUUUAAAAAACAACUUUAUGCAUUUUCUCUCCACUUCUCAAAAAAAAAAAAAAAAAAAAUACAAAUGCUCUGUAGUUGUGAUGGAGAGAAUCAGAAAAUGAAAACCCCGGAGUCGCUUUGAUGGCCUAAACCCUAAUCCCCGUGUCCAUUCAAAACAACCCCAAAAUGCAGAGAAUCAAUUCGUCUCCAAAUUCCCAAAACCUUGCAAUCAAAUCCCUUUUCUCAUUUUUCUCUUCGCUUUCGGAAACCCAAAAUUCAAACGCAUUCCUCCUCAAUUACCUAACAGAAACCCUAAACAUUCCCAAAUCACGAGCCCUUGUGAUUUCAAACAAAUACUCUUACAUUAAGUCACCCGAAAAACCAGAAACUGUGCGUCAAUAUUUCCAUAACGUUGGAUUCUCAGAUACCGAAAUUCAAUUGGCAGUUAGUGCAUCACCCCAUAUUCUCUUCUCUGAUGUUGACAAAACCCUAAAACCAAAGAUUGAAUUUUUCCAGCACCUUGGUCUUGAGGGUUCUGAUUUGGGUAAGAUUAUUUCCAAAACUCCAAGUAUUCUAGCUGUUAGUUUAGAGAAAAAAUUUGAUUCCAAUUGUUGAAAUUCUUAAGAAAAUAUUAGUGAAUGAUACUAAUGAUGAAUAUCUCAUCCGUGUUGUUAGUAGAUGGAACGGGAUUCUUAAAAUUCACCCUGAGAAAUCGGGGUUGCUAAGAAACAUUGAAUACUUCAGAAAUUGUGGCAUUGUUGGGUCUCAGCUGUCAGUGCUAUUGGUGAGGCAACCUAGGCUAUUUUUUUAUGAGGAAUUGAAACUUAGACACCUUGUUUCACGGGUUUUAGAUAUGGGAUUUUCAACCAAAUCGAGGAUGUUUGUUUAUGGAUUUCAUGCACUUAGUUGCGUGAGUGAAGAAACAUUUGAUAGAAAAUUGGAAUUGGUUAGGAGCUAUGGAUUUUCCAAAGAAGAAUUCAUUGAAAUGUUUCGAAAGGCACCUGGUAUACCUAAGUUGUCAGAGGAGAGGUUAAAGUUGGGACUUGAGUUCUUUCUGAAAGAGAUUGAAUGUGAAAAGUCAGUGUUGGUUCGCGUUCCGAUUUGUUUAGCAUGUAGUAUUGAAAAUCGGGCAAUUCCUCGAUAUAGGGUUUUUCAAAUUAUUAUGUCCAGGGGGAUGUUGAGGAAGGAAUCUAGUUUUCCUUCAACACUGCUUUUAAGUGAGAAAAACUUCUUGAAGAAGUUUGUGUUGAGGUUUGGAGAUGAUGCAGAGGAGUUGUUGCUAGCUUACAAGGGCCACGGUUUGGGCAUAAGUUUGGGCAUAAGUUAACUAUCGCCUAUUGGAAUCUUUGAGUCAUUAGCAUUAACUGUUUCAAUGAGAGUUGCUGUUCUAUUUCGAGAUCAGACAGAGAAGGAUUUGAGAGUGUAGUUAAAAGUUGAUGAACAAGGGGAAAUCUCCAGUGGUUUCACUUAAUGAGGUUGCAUGAGAGUUUGGCGAAGGUUCACUGGCCGUUCUAUGUGGUAGCAUAUAGAAGAAGAGAUUAAAGCCUUGAACGAGAAGUCAAUUACCCUUAAACAAGCAAAAGAAAUUUUGAGAAGCGUAAGUUCUGGUACUAACAUCAGACAAGUCUAAUUUUAUGAUAUGUGUAUCUAUUUGCUAGAGAAUUUGUACAAGCAUAAGAAAGUUUCCCUACUGCGGUAAAUGAUUAUGGAUAUAUUCCUUCAAAAUUGUUUUGUCUCAUGGGACGUUGUCUGUAUGCACAUCAUUUCGAUCUCUUAGAUCAUUUUAAUUUUCCAAAUUAUUCCUAUCCUAGUCGCAGUAGAAAGAUAAGACUGAACCAACUGAAUUGUUUGUGAAUGCACCCUGACUACGAAAUUUUUGGGCAAUAACCAAUUUUGCUCGUGCCAGCUAGCAAAAAAGAAGAAAUUAGGAGAGUGGGGUUACAGAUUUUUUGCACGUGCUUGAAAAUUAAGCAAAUUUAGGUUAUUCUACGUGUUUUGUUCUGGCAUAGGUUUUUUUUAUAUUAUUAUUUGUGAAAUUUUUUCCUUAUUCUUUUUACCUUUAAACAAAUGUUCAAUUUGGUAUUGCAGUGCUGUAAUUCCUAAAUCAUAGCAGCUAGCUCUAGAAAUAAAAAUGUAUAGUGUUUGGUAAAAUAUGAUUUUUAAGUCAUAAUUGUGACAAAAAUAGUAAGGGUAUUGCAACUCUCAAAACUGAAACACACCUGUCCCCAAAAUGCCCAAAUUCCAAAAGCUUUGCAAUCAAAUCCCAUUUCUCAUUUUUUUUCUCCUCUUUCGGAAACCCAAAAUUCUAACACAUUCCUCCUCAAUUACCUCAUCGAAACCCUAAAAAUUCCCAAACCACGAGCCCUUGUAAUCUCAAAAAAAAUACUCUCGCGUUAAAUCCCUAGAAAAACCACAAAUUGUACGUCAGUUUUUAGUAAAAUGUUGGAUUCUCUGAUACUCACAUUCAAGUGACAGUUAAUGCAGAACCCCGAAUUCUAUUCUCUGAUAUUUGACAAAACCCUUAAACCAAAGAUUGAAUUUUUCCGGCAUCUGGGUUUCAUGGUUUUUGAUUUGGGUAAUUUUGUUUCCAAAAAUCCAUGUCUUUUAACUGCUAGUUUACAGGAAAAAAAAAUGAUUCCAUGCAUUGAAGUUCUUAAGGAAAUAUUAGUGAAUGAUACUAAUAAUGAAGAUACCAACGAAACAUUGAAUUCUUAAAAAAUUGUGGCAUUGUUGGGUCUCAGCUGUCAAAUUUAUUUUGUAGUGCAACCUAGGCUAUUUUGUUAUGAGGAAUUUAGACACCUUAAUUCACGGGUUUCAGAUAUGGGAUUAUCAACAAAAUCGAGGAUGUUUGUUCAUGGAUUGCAUGCACUUAGUUGCAUGAGUGAAGAAACAUUUGAUAUAAAAUUGGAAUUAUUUAGGAGUUAUGGAUUUUUCCAGCGAAGAGUUCGUUGAAAUGUUUAGAAAGACACCUAAAAUUGAUUAGGUUCUCCGAGGGGAGGUUAAAGACGGGGCUGGAGUUCUGUUUGAAAAAGAUUGAAUUUGAAAAGGCAGUGUUGGUUCGUUUUCCUAUUUGUUUAGCAUGUAACAUUGAAGAUCGGGUGAUUCCUCGAUAUAGGGUUUUUCAAAUUAUUAUAUCAAGAGGGAUGUUGAAGAAGGAAUGUAGAAUGCUGCUUUUGAGUGAGGAGAAUUUCUUUAGGAAGCUUGAAGAUGAUGCAGAGGAGUUGUUGCUAACGUACGAGGGCCACAGUUUGGGUUCUUCUUUGAAAGAGGAAUCUUGAUACAAUUAUACAAGUUUCAAUAUGCUAACUAUGGCCUAUUGGGUCUUUGGGUCAUUAGCAUUAACUAUCGUAAUGAAAGUAGUUGUUUUGCCCCCACACAAACUCUCAAUGUUGUUGUAUUUCGAGAUCUGACAAAGAAGGAUCUAUGUGUAGUCGAUAGUUGACGAAAAGGGAAAUUUUUUUUACAUUCAAUGAUGCCCUUCGUUGAUUUUCGCUUGAUGAGUUACGAUGAGAGUGUUCGUAGACAGUUCACUGGUCGUUUGGUGUGUUAGCAUGUAGAAGAAGAGAUCAAAGCAUCGAACCAAAAGUGAAUUACCCAAUGAACUAGCAAAAGGGAUAUUGAGAAGUGUAAGUUAUGUUGCUAACAUCGAACAAGUCUAAUUUGAUGAUCUCUGUUCUGGUAUAGCUUUAAAAUUUGUACAUGCCUAAAAAAGCUUCCCUGCUACGCAUACAAAUUAUGGAUUUUUCUUUCAAAAUUUUUUUAGUAGAGCUCUUCGAGCUCUUUUUUUUUUUUUAAUAUUGUUAUACAUGAUUGUUACUGAUAUUACAAUUAAUGUUUACAAACAGAUUAUACAACUGAGACCUUUUUCUUGGCAUGUACUCUUCUAAACCUCAUUAUUAUUGGUAUUACAUCAGAUAUUACAAUUAAUGUUUACAAACAGAUUAUACAACUGAAGCAUUCUUCUUGGCAUGUACUUUUCUGAACCUAUGCGUAGAUUUUUUUAAAUAUUUUCUAAUAUUUGAGGGUGUCCAUCCCACUCACAUUUCUUGAGAAAGAAAUUGUUUCCACUCAAUUAUUUAAGAGUAAUGAUACAGCCACAAACUCUUGUACAAACUGACGUGGCAUUAAUUCAUUGGUUGAAUGAAAAUAUAAAUUAAUAAAAACAAAUCAUGUGGGCCAAGUGAUAUUUAAUUCAACCAAUCUUAUCAUGCCACAUCAGUUUGUACAAAAUAAGUUUGUACAAGAGUUUGUGGCUGUAUCAUUACUCAUUAUUUAAUAAUUAAGGGAGGAAUGAAACUAACCUCCAUAAUGCUUUUAUGGAGGCUCGAACCCCUUACUCUCAACAUUAUAAGUGUAAGGACUCUCCGUCAAAGGCCCAUUGGUGCUAUUCGAGCUCUUUAGUUUGUCACAUCAGACCCUGACGGCCCAUAUCUAUCUGCAUACCAAUUAAAUCUCUUAUGGUGCAUUUAUUAAAUGAGAAUAGAAAUGAGAUGAAAUCAGAAUGGGCAGAAAUCAGAAUGGAUUGAAAUGAGAGAAGAGAGUAGGAAUAUAAAUAAAUUUUUUACUUGAACUAUAAGAAUCAGAAUCAGAAUGAGAUGAAUUGUUAUUAAUGUGUUUACAAAUGAGUUAAAUUGUUACAAAUUAUUAAAAAAUCUUUAAUUAAUUAUUAUUAUAAUAAUUAUUUUAUAUUUUAAUUAUCGUGAAUAUCUACUCAAGAAUUACUAUUACUAUUACUAUUAGUAUUAUUAUUAAUUAUUAUUAAUAAUAUAUUAAUUUAUGAAUUAAUUAUAAAUUUUUUAUCAUUGACAAUGAAGAUAAUAAUAAUAUUAACAUUAAUAAUUUAUUAAUUAUAAUUUAUCAUCAAGAAGAAGCGAAGAAGAAGUAUGAGGAAGAGGCUAAGUCAGCCGAAGAGCUCAUUAAUGACAAGAAUGAAACUUUCACCCUCACUACAAAAUACUUGAGCCAUAACCAUUUCUUGCUGAGAUGGAAGAAACAAGAGACACUGUUGUUAUAGUUUAAUUUUUGCAUGUGCUUGAAAAUCAUGCUAAAUUAUUGUUAUUCUCAAUAGGGGGUUGAUUGUGGAGUCAUGCACCUGAUAGUGCCAGAUUACAUGCGUUUACUUUUCUUUUCUUUUCAAAAAAAAAAAAAAAGAUUACAUGCGUUUCUCAUUGGAAGAUGUGGGCUCUAGCUCUACUGCUCAAUUCCUCCCCAUAAAAGUUUAACACGUGUGUAGUCGCGCACGUGAUCGCGCUUCUCACAAUUGGACCUGGUAUCACUUGCUAGUAAAUCUUGAAGGGAAUCUCUUAAGUUGGCAUUUAGCAUUUGCUAAUGUUUUGGUAAUGUUUAAACAAGAAAACAAAAAUAAGCCUUCAAUGAUCUUCUUGUUGUGUCUAUUUUAUUUGAACUGUAAAUCUGCCCUUGCCCUUUGCAAGUUGGUUUUAGUCUGCUUGUCACGAAUCAAUCAACAAACCUGUGACAUGAAAGUUUGAAAUUAAUCAUUAAUAGACGUGUCAACUGCGAAAGUGGCGAUUUUUAAGCGCUAUCGCCGCCAUCGGUCCUGUAAAACUACCCGUGUUGAGGAACAUUUUGGUCCGUAAAAGAGUUUUUGGCUAUAUAAUGAACAUUUGGUCAAAUUUGCCGCCGUAAAAACCCUUCACCCUUCUUCUGUUUUUUGUUCAUUUAAACCCUAGAAACCCCAGUCUCUUAAAAGCCAAAACUGAAAACACCGCUAGCCCCAAAAUGCGGAGACUCAAUUCAUUUCCAAAUACCCAAAACUUUGCAAUCAAAUCCCUUUUCUCAUUCUUCUCUUCACUUUCGAAGACCCAGAAUACAACCCCCAUCCUCCUUAAUUACCUAAUCGAAACUCUAAAAAUCCCCGAAUCACGAGCCCUUGUGAUCUCAAACAAAUACUCUCACAUUAAAUCCCUAGAUAAACCGCAAACUGUGCGUCAAUUUUUCCACAAUGUCGGAUUAUCGGAUAUCCACAUUCAGCUGGCAGUUAAUGCAACACCCACAAUUCUAUUCUCCGAUAUUAACAGGACCCUUAAACCAAAGAUUGAGCUUUUUCAACGUUUGGGUUUUGUGGGUUCUGAUUUGGGUAAGUUUGUUUCCAAAAAUUCAUUCCUUUUUUGCUGUUAGUUUGGAGAAAAAAUUGAUUCCAUGUGUUGAAAUUAUUCAGAAAAUAUUAGCGGAUCGUACUACUAAUCAAAAUUUGAUUGUGUUGUUAGUAGAUGCAACUGGAUUCUCACAAGGGACCCGGAGAAAUCAGGGCUAUUAGGAAACAUUGAAUACUUGAAAAGUUGUGGCAUUGUUGGUUCUCGGUUGUCUACUUUAUUAAUGAGGCAAACUAGGCUAUUUUGUUUUGAGGAAUUGAAACUUGGACAGCUUGUUUUGCGGGUUUUAGAUAUGAGAUUUUCAAUUAACUCAAGGAUGUUUGUUUAUGGACUGGAUGCUCUUUGUUGCUUUAGCGAAGAAACAUUUGAUAGAAAAUUGGAUUUAUUUUAGAGUUAUGGAUUUUCCAAAGAAGAGUUCAUGGAAAUGUUUCGGAGGGCACCUGGAAUACUAAGGUCGUCUGAGGAGAGUUUAAAGUCGAGACUUGAGUUCUUUCUGACAGAGAUGAAUUUAAAAAGUCGGUGUUGGUUCAUAAUCCGGUUUGUUUAACGCUAAGUAUAGAAAAUCAAGUGAUUCCUCGAUAUAGGUUUUUUCAGGUUUCAAUGGCCUUCCCUUUUAAAUUUCAACUCAAAUGUUCAACGCCCACCAACUUCCCCGAGCUUCUCAAAUGAUCACUUGCUUACUUCAAAUUCAAGAUCAUUAUAUGGGCAGGCAGAGUUUAUAACAGAAAUUAUUGAGCAAACUGAUGGAGGGGCUGCCAGUUCGGCAUCCGUGAAUCCUAAUUUGCUUGAUAAUCAUCCUGUAACUUCUGGAAGAAAGUCGUCUCUAGGUUCCCCAUUGUCUUCCUCACCCCAUUUCAUUGAGGUCUGCGAGCAGCCUGUGAGGUUGGAUGUGUGUUCACCAGAUCGGUUGGCUGGGGAACUGUUCUUCCUGGAUGCUUCACUAGCAUUCACUGCUGAAGAAUUAUCUCGAGCCCCUGCAGAAGUGCUUGGCAGAAGCAGCCAUGGAACUCUCUAUAAAGCCACUCUAGAUAGUGGGCAUAUGUUGACUGUGAAAUGGUGGCGGGUGGGACUGGUAAGACAUAAGAAAGAAUUUGCUAAGGAAGUUAAAAAAAAAAAGAUCUAUGAGGCAUUCAAAUAUUGUUCCGUUGCGCGCGUAUUAUUGGGGGCCUGGAGAACAGGAGAGGCUUCUUCUUGCAGAUUAUAUCCAGGGAGACAGCUUGGCCCUACAUCUUUACGGUAAGAAUUCAAAGGACAUUUUUAUCUUGUCUUUUAAUCAUUAUUCCCUACCAACUUUCCGGAGUUCUUUUGUCAUAGUUCAGCCAACUUUCUUUGUUAUAACUAUUGUCUGAGUUCUGAAUGAGGAUGCUUUGCUCUAAAUGCAUGUUGAUGCUGCAUGGCGUAUCGUUUUUCUUUACUCUGUAGUGUGACAUUCAUGUCAAAAUGGUUUAAAUAGAUGUUGGAUUUCAUUAUCGUGGCAAGUCUAGUUAAAGAAGGCUUGAGAGCUUGAAGCGGAGUUGGCAUAUUAGGUUUUUGUUAAGUUAAUUGCUCGUUUUGUUGAACCUUCCACAGUCUCAACCCUCAGGGUGAAUGUCAUAUACAAGCUUCUUGAAUAUGGUCUUUACAUAGAGAGCCUCUAUUUCUCUAAUGGGGGACAUUGCAAGCUGUGAUGAAGUUGGAUAGUUAUAUUGGUUUAACUUUCAUUUUACUUCUUUCAUGGGGAAUAACCGUUUUUCCUAGCUGAUUUAUAUACAUGUGCUUCAUAAUGUACAUGGACUUCUCUCUAACAUUUUGUAUUAUUUGAUCCACAUAUGUGGCAAUGCAGAGACUACUCCUUGGAGGUACUCCCCAUUGUCAUUCAUUCAAAGGCUAAAAGUGGCUGUGGAUGUUGCUCGAUGUCUGUUAUACCUUCAUGAUAGAGGCCUGCCACAUGGAAACCUAAAGCCUACACACAUACUCCUGGCAGGUCCUGAUUAUGACGUUCGCCUAACGGAUUACGGCCUACACCGCCUUAUGACCCCAGCUGGCAUUGCGGAGCAGAUACUGAAUCUGGGAGCACUUAGGUACCGUGCCCCGGAACUCACUACUGCAUCAAAGCCAGAUCCCUCAUUUAAGGCUGAUGUGUAUGCACUCGGUGUAAUCCUGAUGGAAUUGUUAACAAGAAGAAGUGCCGGUGACAUAAUCUCUGGCCAGUCGGGAGCUGUGGAUCUCACCGACUGGGUUCGGCUCUGUGAUCAAGAAGGGCGUGGAAUGGACUGUACGGACAGCGACAUUGCUGGUGGUGAAGAACCCUCAAAAGCAAUGGAUGAUUUGCUAGCCAUAUCUAUCAGGUGCAUUCUCCCUGUAAAUGAAAGGCCUAACAGCAAACAAGUCUGAUGGUCUUUGUUCUAUAUCUGCAUGAAAUUUUUUACAUGUGUCUUGGAAUUAUUUUUUUACCUUGAUCCUUGACCAAUCCUUGUUUUUUAUCCCUUAUUUUUUCCUCCCAUUAAUUGGUUUCUGGCCUUUCGAUUACAGGCUAAUCAUGUCUCCCUUUUUUUUUUUUUUGGGGUCUCGCCGAAAAUUUUCUUGUAAAGAAACAUCCCCAUUGAUUAUUUUAGUAGUGUUUUGAGUUUGAUCUUCAAUUGAAAAUGGUUCCAAGUCUCAGCGUGCUCGCUUUGUUCAAUGACAGGAGAGGCAUCAUAAUUCCUUGUGCCAAAUAGAUGGGCAAAAUUAUUUGCUCAGUUUUGCAAUAUUAAUUCUGUUUUCUUGUUGCUCAUCUAAUUAUUGAUCUAAACACUGUUUAAUAGCAAAUCAAAUUUAGCAUUUUUAAAAUUUGAAGGCACGUUCUUUUGAUUAUAAUAAUUAGAGCUCAAUGCAGGCCCGACAGGCCAACAAAGGAAAUUAUGAUAAAAUAAAUUCUCACAAGUAAACCGGAAACUCCUGGAAACUCGAUUACUCCACCAGAAAUUAUGAAAACAAUAAUAAAAAAUGAAAUUUCAUAAAAAUAAUUAUAAAAAUUACUCGGAAGUAAGUAAAUAGUGAAAAUCAUCUGGUACUCAAGUUCGUUUAAUAACAUAAAGAAAGGUUUUUGUUUAUUGGAUGAGAUUUCUUAUUACAUCUAAGUUUUUUGAAAAAUAAAAAAAAUAAAAAUUUAUUUUCCAUUAUAAAUAAAAGCAAAACGCGAGGCUCCAUCGUUUUAAGAAUAGACACAUAAAUCUUAUAUAAACUAAAUUUUUUUUUUCAAAUAGACAAAAAUUUUACAAUUUUUUAUUUAAAAAACAACUUUAUGCAUUUUCUCUCCACUUCUCAAAAAAAAUUUAAAAAAAAAUACAAAUGCUCUGUAGUUGUAAUGGAGAGAAUCAGAAAAUGAAAACCCCGGAGUCGCUUUGAUGGCCUAAACCCUAAUCCCCGUGUCCAUUCAAAACAACCCCAAAAUGCAGAGAAUCAA
rnacentral:lncRNA from 1 species